ensembl:lncRNA
GGCAAACUCUGUGACGUAUGGGGCCAAGAGCUCUCCCAUUGGCUGGAGUCCAUACGUGUGUUAUGCGUGUGAUUAUAUGAGUAUGGAGAAAGCCACGGAGGAUACACAAGUCACUGAAGACGCUGAAGAGGGAAAUAGAUCCUGGUAAAGAGCUUCAGAAACCCUUGGGAUUUCCUGAGUGCUGGGAGUGUCUUUCAUUAUUCAUAAUGAGGCCCUUUGGACCGGUUGCUGGAUUUAUGCUAACAAGGAGACUCACUGCCAGCUCUGAGGUCCCUGAGUGAGCUUCAGGAUGGUGGCUGGUCACCAGAAAAAUCAACCAAUUUUCAGCCCUACUCUCCACCUCUGUGUCAGCGGGGAGAGGCUGGAGAUUGCACUCAAUCACGUGACCAGUGAUUUAUUCAAUCGCACCUAUGUAAUAAAGCCUCAAUAAAAACUAAACGAAGUUUGGAGAACUUCCAGGUUGGUGAACAUACCAAUGUAACAGGACAGUGAUGCACCCUGACUGCACGCAUCAGGGUGAGGCUCCUGACCUCAGGACUUGUCCAGACCUUGCUGCCCAAUGCAUCUCUAUCUAGCUCUUCAUUUAAAUGUAGCCUUUAAAAUAAUGCAGCAGUCAUAUAUACUGCACUUUCCGGAGUUCUUUGUCAUUCUAGCAACUUACUGAACCUGAAGUGGGCUGUGGGAACUACCAAAUUUGUAGCGAAGGUCAGAGGUAUGGGUAGCCUGGAGGCGCAGGUCUUGUGGUUGAACCCCUUAGCCUGUGGGAUCUUCACCCACUCAGGGUAGUUCAUGUCUAAACUGAACUAUGGAACAGCCAGUUGUGUAAGAGAACUGGUGUCAGAAUGUAAAGAGUAAGUUUUAGGACUUCUGUGGUGGCCCAGGGCAUUUCCACUGCAGGGGCACGGAUUUGACUCCUAGUCAGGGGUCUAAGAUCCUGCAUAUGAAGCAGUGCGGCCAAAAAGAAGUUUUGACACCCUACGAAUCCCUGGCGUUUUCCAUCGUUUCAUUCGAAUUUGAUAGUUCAGAAACUCCAAGCCCCUGGCAAGAUUGAGAGGUAGUAUUGUGGAGCUAGUUGAGCCUGGAGGGAGCAAAUCCACAGAUGUUUCUGACCCGCCCUUCCCCCACCAUGUCCAGCCUUUGGAGAGCCUCACACAUGAUUUCAUAGCCCAGAUUAGGACUGUCUACCAGCGAGUGAGCACACCCGAUGCACCAAGUACUUUUCAUAAUUUUUUCCUGGAAAACCAUGUACAUUUACAUCUUCCUAUUAAAGGUAUGAAUUUGAACAAGGGGUUGAUAGGUAUUGGAAUUUGUGAGUUGGGUACAAAUUAGAAAUAAUAGCAAGAUAGCUAUGUACAAAUCACAUAUCUGGUAAAGGACUUUUAUCCAUACUCUCAAAACUCAGCAAUAAGAAAACAGACAACUUGUGUGGUGUUAACUAUCAUUUCACAAUAUAUGUGUAUCAAAUCAUCACACGGUAUCCUUUAACCUUUCAAUAUGUUUUAUGUCAUUUGUAUCUCAAAGCUGG